UUUUAGCUCACCUGACCUGAAAGGUCAAGUGAGCUUUUCUCAUCACUUUGCGUCCGUCGUCCGUCGUCCGUAAACUUUUACAAAAAUCUUCUCCUCUGAAACUACUUGGCCAAAUUUGUCCAAACUUGGCCACAAUCAUCAUUGGGGUAUCUAGUUUAAAAAAUGUGUCCGGUGACCCGGCCAACCAACCAAGAUGGCCGCCAUGGCUAAAAAUAGAACAUAGGGGUAAAAUGUAGAUUUUGGCUUAUAUCUCUGAAACCAAAGCAUUUAGAGCAAAUCUGACAUGGGGUAAAAUUGUUUAUCAGGUCAAGAUCUAUCUGCCCUGAAAUUUUCAGAUGAAUCGGACAACCCGUUGUUGGGUUGCUGCCCCUGAAUUGGUAAUUUUAAGGAAAUUUUGCCGUUUUUGGUUAUUAUCUUGAAUAUUAUUAUAGAUAGAGAUAAACUGUAAACAGCAAUAAUGUUCAGCAAAGUAAGAUCUACAAAUAAG